UACGUAGGUGGCAAGCGUUAUCCGGAAUUAUUGGGCGUAAAGAGCGCGCAGGUGGUUGAUUAAGUCUGAUGUGAAAUCUCACAGCUUAACUGUGAGCGGUCAUUGGAAACUGAGGAACUUGAGUAUAGAAGAGAAGAGUGGAAUUCCAAGUGUAGCGGUGAAAUGCGUAGAUAUUUGGAGGAACACCAGUGGCGAAGGCGACUCUUUGGUCUAUUACUGACGCUGAGGUACGAAAGCAUGGGUAGCAAACAGGAUUA
rnacentral:rRNA from 1 species